UACAAACACUGCUUUCAGACAACGCUGAAGGACAGGGAUUAUACAGAAUGAAACAUACAGUUAUCUGGGGUUUAUAUUUUGUACUGUGUAUUCAUGGAGUCCGGAGUGAGAUCAAACUGGACCAGUCUUCCUCUGAGGUGAAGAGACCUGGAGAGACAGUGAAGAUGUCAUGUAUCAUAUCUGGUUAUAGCAUGACAAGCCACUAUAUGCACUGGGUACGACAGAGGCCAGGGAAAGCCCUGGAGUGGAUUGGGAGGAUGAACACAGGCUCAAACUCUGCUAGCUAUGGCAGCUCCUUCCAAAGCCGUUUCACCAUGACUGAAGUUGUAUCCAGCAGCACUCAGUACCUCCAGGUCAAUUCUCUGACAGCAGAAGAUUCUGCUGUUUACUUCUGUGCUCGUCAGGGGUAUAGCUGGCAUUAUUUUGACUACUGGGGCAGUGGGACUCAAGUCACAGUACAUUCAGGAACAAUCACUGCACCGAGUGUGUUCCCUUUGAUUCAGUGCCAACCCGAAUCUACAAACACAAUCACUGUUGGUUGUCUUGCACGUGACUUCUCCCCAAAUGGUGUCACUUUCAAGUGGACCAGUGCCAGUGGGCCUGCCCAGACUUCAGAACAAUAUUCUUCAGCUGGCCCAAACAACAACCACACAUAUACAGGAGUCAGUGUGCUCCAAGUAUCAAAAGCUGACUGGGAUUCAAGGAAGUCUUUUCACUGUUCAGUAACUCAUAACGGAUCUUCCCAAAUUGUGCAAAUACAAAGGCCAAUUAGUACAAAAAUGACUUUGCUAUCGGUGCCAAGUGAAGACUCCCAGGCCCUGGUCUGUACAAUUGAGGACAGGUACAAGGGAACACUUGAAUCAUUUAAAUGGAAAAAGAAUAAUGCACCUUUGAAUGACUUCAUUCAGAGUCCCAUCGUGCAAAGUGGAACGUUAAAUUCAGCUGUCAGUGUCCUGAAGGUCAAGAACAGAGACUGGGACAGUAAAGCUGUUUACACCUGUGAGGCAACUUACAUGGGAUCAACGCUUACAAAAAAGGCCUCAAAAGCUCCUAUCACAGUGACACUGAACCAACCAAGUCCCAAAAGAAUUUUCAGCAACAAUCAAGCAGAGCUGAGCUGUGUCAUCACUGGACAAGACAAGACCACUGUAGAUCAAACUCAAAUCAAAUGGCAAGUUAAAGGACCAAGUGUGACCAGCAAUGUUACAGAAAUGAGGAGUGACCUCAGCAAGACCAGCAAGCUAACUCUUAGUUACGCUGAGUGGCAGAAAGUCAAUAAAGUGAGCUGCUCUGCCCGUACAGGAGAAAUGACACCAGUGAUUCAAGAGCUGACAGUUCACAGAGGAGAUGGAAGAAAACCAAAUGUGACAGUCCACAUCCUCCCAGAGCAGGACAUCAACCAAGGAGACGCUGCUGAGGUCACUCUGGUGUGUCUGGUCUCCGGUCCUGUGUUACAGGAUUACUACAUCGCCUGGUCAGAACUUCAUGGACAAAACUCCAGCAACUUUGCUGAUGGCAUCAACUUCAGCCCACAGAAGACCCAAUACGGUUACUCAGUGACAAGUGUUUACACCACCACCAAGGAAAAGUGGGAGCAGAAAGACAACAUAUUCUACUGUAAUGUCUGGCCUGCUGGCAGCAAUGCACCUAUGGAGCCAAAGAGAGUGUCUACGGCCAUGGCUCCUAUCACAGUGACACUGAACCAACCAAGUCCCAAAAUAAUUUUCAGCAACAAUCAAGCAGAGCUGAGCUGUGUCAUCACUGGACAAGACAAGACCACUGUAGAUCAAACUCAAAUCAAAUGGCAAGUUAAAGGACCAAGUGUGACCAGCAAUGUUACAGAAAUGAGGAGUGACCUCAGCAAGACCAGCAAGCUAACUCUUAGUUACGCUGAGUGGCAGAAAGUCAAUAAAGUGAGCUGCUCUGCCCGUACAGGAGAAAUGACACCAGUGAUUCAAGAGCUGACAGUUCACAGAGGAGAUGGAAGAAAACCAAAAGUGACAGUCCACAUCCUCCCAGAGCAGGACAUCAACCAAGGUGCUGAGGUCACUCUGGUGUGUCUGGUCUCCGGUCCUGUGCUACAGGAUUACUACAUCGCCUGGUCAGAACUUCAUGGACAAAACUCCAGCAACUUUGCUGAUGGCAUCAACUUCCGCCCAGAGAAGACCCAACAUGGUUACUCAGUGACAAGUGUUUACACCACCACCAAGGAAAAGUGGGAGCAGAAAGACAACAUGUUCGUCUGCAAUGUCCGGCCUGCUGGCAGCAAUGGGUCCAUGAAAUCAAAUGCCGUAUCUACAGCCAUGGAUUUUCCCUCAGAGUCACAACUGAGUUUUGCUCUGAGCUGCAUAGAAGAUGCCACUGAAGAGGAUGAGUUCAGCAGUCUGUGGUCCACAACGUCCUCCUUCAUAUUUCUCUUCAUAACCUCACUCUUCUAUAACAUGAUAUUCAGCCUGGUGAAGAUGAAGAGACAAUAGAGGAUGAGAUGGAUACACGGCGCAGACAACUCCAUCUUUUUACCUUUCCAUGUAGCUUGAAACUCACGUAUAUGAGCAAUAACUAAAUGCAUAUUUGCUAAAUUAAAUGGUUGCCAUUAAUAAUGAUUAACUAAGCCACUGAAAAUGGAUUUCUCUGUCAGCUGUAGAGAAACUAAAAGACAAACAAAUUGUCUUUUGUAAAACAAAUUGUACUGUAGCAGAAACAGAUUUUUUUUCUGUACAUGGCUUUGCAUUUCAUAGUUUGACAAAAUAAAUCUUUGCUUUUCAUGUUUGGUUAUUUUAUUGACACUAUUUGCUUUCAUAAGUAAGUCAAAAGAUAUGAUACAUAUAUGAUACUACAAUAUUUAAGGACAACCACAUAAACAUUUAAGUGAGC